CGGUGUGAAAAGUCAAUCUUUAAAAUUGUCACAGGCUGCAGCUGGCACUAAUUGGAACCCGUGUUGUCAGUCUCCAUAAGGGGCCAAGAAGCGAGCGUGUCUGCAGGCUGAAUUAUGUUUGCUUCCUUCAACAGAAGUGGUCCCUUCAGAUCAGGGCUGUGGCAUACUGGCGGGCUUUCAUACAGGAGAUGCCAUUUCAGAUGUCUCUGCAGUAAAGGCUUUGAGAAUAAAAAAGCCUCCUGUUCUCUAAGGCUGUCCAUCUGUCAAGCUUUCACAUGUACCAAAUUCUCUCAGUUUUCUCCUUUAUUAGCACUGCGGCAAGAAUCUGCAUUUACUUGUUUUGGCCAUUGUGAAAACCGAGAGCCAGAGGGGCAUGGAUGUACAUCUGAUGGACCGAGACUUUGACCAAGUCCAACUGUUAGCAAGCUACCACCACACUGUCACAGCCCACAUUACUUCACGCUGCAUGAAGAUGCCAUCCUGCCAAGAAGAAAAACAUGUCUUUCAGAGCUCAUGAUUUUCAGCUCAUUCUGCAAUCUACAUGACUAGGCUCUUGCACUUAAGCAAGACUGGGAUUUUCACCCAAUCGCUGGAAUGCCAUUACCUGAUGUUUGAAUUUGGACUCAUGAGAAAAAUACAGGAAAAGGACUUCUAACUGCCUGCAAUUGUUAAGUAACUACAUAAAAAGUAUCCACAACUUACUUCUCUCGUAGCUACAAUGAGAAGCUGAAGGCUGGUACUGCAAGCUUAGCUCCCCCCCAUGACUCUGCAUCCUGCCCCAGAGAUGCUGAUGCAAAAUCAGUGCUACAGAGGGUGAUGCAGUGAAAAAACAGUAGUAAAGCCAGUGCACAGACUAUACUACUGAGGAAAAAAAGAAGUUUCUGAAAGCUCUACAUGGUUUCAUUUAUUUA